UACAGAGGUCCCAAGCGUUGUUCGGAUUCAUUGGGCGUAAAGGGUGCGUAGGCGGCGCGGUAAGUCGGGUGUGAAAUCUCCAGGCUCAACCUGGAGGGGUCAUUCGAUACUGCCGUGACUAGAGUUCGGUAGGGGAGUGUGGAAUUCCUGGUGGAGCGGUGAAAUGCGCAGAUAUCAGGAGGAACACCGGUGGCGAAGGCGGAUCUCUGGGCCUUACCUGACGCUCAGGUGCGAAAGCUAGGGGAGCGAACAGG
rnacentral:rRNA from 1 species